GGCUUAAAGCCAACCUUUAAAACUGUGUCAUAGACACUGAGAACUGGGAAGCCCCGGCCCUUGAGCGCUCUAAUAGGAGGUCAGCUGUAACCAGCAGUGCUGCGGAGUUCGAAGAGGCACGAAUGGAGGGUGAAGAGAGACCCAAUUUGUGAAACUCAACUCAGGCAGGGGAAAUCCUUUUUCAAUCCCACCGCUGCCUCCAAUUGAGGAGAUGUGCGCGCGUGUGAGAGGGAGGGAUACAGGAUGUGUGAAUGUAUGACAGGGAGGAUUUAGUGGAUAAGGAAGGAUAACAGAACUGAUGGGUUUAAAUGAGUAAAGAUGGUAACUUAUAUAGAAAAGUACGGUAACUUAUAUAGAUAGGUACGGUAACUGCCACCAACAUGAGGUAAUGGUCUUCCUUCAGGCUUACAGAGAGGCAAGGAGACUGAUCUUUAUGAACAAUAAAAUUCAAGUUUAUUUUGUACAUAAGCGUGUGGUUUCAAUCAGUAAACGUUCCAGAUCUUAAGUUACAAUGUAGUCUUUCAUGAAUGGAUAUAUCUUUAAUAACUUCUCUUCGAACAGUAAAUAAAACACCCAGUCAACUUAUAUCACCAGCCUUUCCCCUGAGUGAACAAUAAGCUGCCGUCCUUAGCUGAUUCCCACAGCUCCUAAUCUUUUCAAAACCUAACAGAAACUGAUCCUCUCAAAACCCUAUCAGCAACUGAAUUUUUUAAAAGGGAAUAUGCUCCAACUGUCAACUUAGCCACGCCCCUUUCUUCUCCCAAGGGAAGCUGCGUUACCAUGGCAACCUACUAACACUAUUUCCAUGUUAGGCUUUUCCUUGCUAAUAUAUAACUUCCUUUUUUUUCUUUAACAAACAAAUAAAAUCAUAUCAAUAAUCUCUGUUUAACUCAUAACCUCUUUACAGAGGGCUUAAAGGAGAAACGUGCCAAGAAGAAGGAGCGUCAAGCCAACCCUGACCAAGACCGCCUUCCACCUGGAAACCGAUGUCCUCAUUGCGGGAGAACAUGCAGAUCAAGAAUAGGUUUCUUCAGUCACCUGCGGACACACCCCCAACACCCUAUAACUGGAGGACCAUCAUCCUCGGCCUACAAGGGAUUGCUUAAGUAAAAAUGAAGAUCCAUCCUCCUCCAGCCAGGGGAGGAUUUUUUUUGCCAGCUGAACUAUUUAAGAACUCAAUUGAACAGUCCUUUGAGCAGGGAAGUUCCAUGUAUGAAUCAUCUUUUAGUUUGUGUAACAAGAGGCAAGAAACACUGUGCACAGGCUGGCAGAAAUGGUCGUAUUUUAAGAGAGAAAGGAAAGACCUGCAGGUCCAACUUAUGGUGGCAAUAUUUUUCCAGAGGAGAUCUGCCAUUGUCUUCUUGUGCGAUUAUUAUUUGGUCACUCAAUGGGUUUCCAUGGCUGAGCAGUGAUUUGAUCCAUAGUCUCUUGGAGUCUGGCACUGGCUUACUUGUUAUCUAUUAUUUUGUCCAAUUCCCGUUUCAAGCUUUCAUUAAAUCUUGUGGCAAUGAA